rnacentral:rRNA from 1 species
GUCCACGCCCUAAACGAUGUCAACUAGUUGUUGGGGAUUCAUUUCCUUAGUAACGUAGCUAACGCGUGAAGUUGACCGCCUGGGGAGUACGGUCGCAAGAUUAAAACUAAAAGGAAUUGACGGGGACCCGCACAAGCGGUGGAUGAUGUGGAUUAAUUCGAUGCAACGCGAAAAACCUUACCUACCCUUGACAUGGUCGGAAGUCUGCUGAGAGGUGGACGUGCUCGAAAGAGAACCGGCGCACAGGUGCUGCAUGGCUGUCGU